UACAGAGGUCUCAAGCGUUGUUCGGAUUCAUUGGGCGUAAAGGGUGCGUAGGCGGCGCGGUAAGUCGGGUGUGAAAUCUCGGAGCUUAACUCCGAAACUGCAUUCGAUACUGCCGUGCUUGAGGACUGGAGAGGAGACUGGAAUUCUUGGUGUAGCGGUGAAAUGCGUAGAUAUCAAGAGGAACACCUGCGGCGAAGGCGGGUUGCUGGGCCGACACUGACGCUGAGGCGCGAAAGCUAGGGGAGCGAACGGG
rnacentral:rRNA from 1 species